ACAGCACAAAAAAGAAAAUGCCAGGAGCCUUUUUCUGCUGUGAGGCUGAUGAUGGAGCAGAGUUGAUGUAAAAAUGGACUCUGUGGGAGGGAGAGCAUGCAGGCACUGGUCGUCUGCCACUGCUGGCACCAACUCAGAGCAUUUCCACUCCAGAAUCCAAAUGGUCGCAGGCUGUGCCAGGAGAGAGAUGGAUCAAGGCGACGCGCCGUGGUAUUCCCAUGAUCACAGAAGGUAAACUCUGCAGGGGAACCUGGGAAAAUCCGGAGGUGGGAAGGGUUUUCUGAUUUGCUCUCCUGUGCAGAGCUCGAACUCGCCCAGGCUGCGAGAAAACCUCUGCGGUGCGUUUUCAUUUAGAUCAAAGGGCCCAACCCCAAUUCCAAGCAUGCAAACACAGUGAAACAGCUGCAGCGGAAUCAAUGAUAUUUCCCCUGAGGAUUUUUUUUCAAGUGGACAUAUUAAAACAAACCCCCUCCGUGCUGUCAGCCCCACCCCUGACCACUGGAGCUCUGACCACUCCGUGUCCACAUCUGUGACAGUUUGAAAUGAAAAUAACCAAGCGUGGCCGUCUUAGUCGUGAGAAAAUGAGCACCGUCGUGGUUUAGUUCAUCUGAAAUAAGGUAGAUGAUAUAGAUUAUUAUUAUACUGCACCAUGGAAAUGUUAAGAUGUGAGUCUUUUCUUCCGUUCAACACGGCAAACAUUUGUUUCUCAUGUAUGUCGAGUGGCUUUUUUUCUCAAAGAAUACUUAAGGCAUGAGCUCCACUGAGCUGCCAUGUGUUCAAAUGUGAACCAGACAUUGAAACCACUUAUUCGGCACACAAACAUCUGCAAUUGUUUUAUUUUUUUUCCCCUCAGAUUUUAAUUUCACGUUUCAUGAAAAAUAUGCUUUAGAUACCGACGGGUGACAUCAUCUUUUUCUUUCAAAUCUGUUUAACCCUCACACACAAUUAAUAUCUGCUGGAUAAACAUCUCCUGAUUUCAACGUCUUAAAGAUGAAUAAUGCAUGAAUGCGGAAUAAAAAUCAAAAAUAUGUUUGUAAUCGAUACAAAAGCGAGUGGAAGUGCAGCAGCCUGCUUGUCUCUGAUCAAAGCUCCCCCCCACUCUGGCUUUCUCUGAGAUAGCGUUGCUAUGGCAAUAGGCACUCCGUCCGUCCGUCCGUCUGUCUUUGUCCACAGGAGACACUUCCUCGAUGAGCAGAGUUGCUGUAUGCAAACAUGUCCCUCGGGUGAGACGUGAAUGAGACCGAACUGUCAGAGAGCUAAUGAGUGAGUGAAUAUGAGAAAUGAUGUUUUUAUCUCUAACACAAACACACUAUAAAUGACAUGAAGUGCACACAACAUCACUGUACAUCCGCCUUACAACCAAUUAAAUAAGAUUUACUUGAAUAUGAUUUGAUAUAAUCACCGUACUGUUUUACAUUAUUCAGUAAGAGCCUUUGCGGUCGUUAAGUGUGUUUGUGUACGUUUUUAAGCAGCGCCACUUUCUUAAAGGGCUGUUUCACCAAUUUUAUUCCCCCCAUGGUCAAAUGAAGGAUAAACUAAGAUCAUUACGAUGCUGCUGCCGUGUUUGUUUGGUAAAUUUGACCAAAUUUGACGUUAAAGUUUUGUAAAAGGUGACAGAAUCUUGACCUUAAAGAACAGUGUCGGGGCUUUUAGUUUCUUUGAAGGAAAUCACGUUGACAUGGACUUUUUCUCAAUUUUAGUCAGAGAUAUUCAAUCCCAACUUCUGUUUCUGUAAUCAAAUAACACAUUUAUCUCUUGAAAUGAGUAAAAAGCUGUAUAUUUUUUAGGUGAAGUGGCCCUUUAAAUCCCACGUAACACCCUCUCUGGUAUGUGUAGGCCACCGUAGUCCUCCGUUAAUUGCACUCUGCCGUCUCGUUAUUAGAUGUCAUUAAUUCUCACACAUUUGUCCUUUUAUGGCAUAAACAUGUAAUUAUACGUACAUAAGUAAACACCUGUACGAACAGGCGCCGCCAUUUUUGCCCAGCGGCGUUCAAAGGAUUACGUCUCGGAGCCGAGGGCCUUACUCUGUCUUGUUAUUCAAGGCUGCAGAUUAGCAGAAGUACUGUUUUGUAAAGAUCAGCAGGUGAAGUCGGUCAUUUUACAUCAAACGACUCACCAGCACAAAAACACACAUUUUGUAAAAAAAGGAAUGCGACGGCAAAGGAAACCGAUUUCCCCGGGAACCUUCAUCACUUUGAAGUUGAUAAAUAAAUAAGAGUACAUAAGUAUAUAAAGUGUGUAUAGUGUAUAAAUUGUAACCUUUUUGAAGUGUAAAUUCACAGGGCACCAAAAAAUACCAAGCUUUAUACAGGUUUUUAUUUCAGAUUUGUUACGUUAUUCACGGGACUGAAAUAAGCCUUGGGUGCCAAAGACAGUGGGUGUAGCCAUUUGAUUGAUGUUAGCUUGUAAGCAUAUUACGUAAUAUUAUGUUGUUGUGUCCCAUAUGUCUCUCAACAGCUAUACAUGGAAGACGUGUAACAAUGUAACGGCAACAUUGGACGCCAGUUUAGUCGAGACAGAGAGAGAGAGAAGUCCCAGUUUGGUCAUUUGAAAAAGAGUGGGCUUAUUUUUGAGGCUGCAGCUCUGAUCUGAGUCGACACAAGUGGUUGCCAGGCAACAGCACGACCAGCUCCUGGAACUGAAGUCUCUUCGGCUACACCGUUCCUGCGACAUUAGCAACAAAAACACACAAACACACUUCAUUUAACAAUUGGCUGGAUUUAUUAUUAAAAGGAGUGUGAGGACGGACAACACAGAUAUUCACAUUUCUCCAGUCGUACAGUAUAUGAUGUCUCGUGACGCCAGAGUGAAUUUUACAACACACAUGUAAACACCCAGUCAUUCAGACACAGAUCUGUCUUUGUGCUUCACAGCGACACAGUUCUCCGUUUGAAUCCCAAUUAAACCGCGGCUCACGUGUCCCCUGUGACCCUCGACGGAUGCACAGCAGUCAGUUGUUGUUGUUGUUGUUGUUGUUGUUGUUGUUGUUGUUUGUUUUUCCCGUCUGCACUUGGCUCCGACAUUACACACUUUUGUACUUCUGGGUGAAUGUUGAGAGCUGGAAAAUCUGCCCAUUAAACUGCCCGGAGAUGUUUCAAGCCUCGAUGACGACCUGCCGCUGUCUGGUCAGACGAGGAAUUCCACCCACACGCUCUCGUCUCUUUGUAAUCACACUCUCACAGAGGUUUGAGCGAAAAGUGGAUUAUUUGAUGGUUCAAAGGAACUUAAGGGUUUUACGUCAUUUCUUCUUUGAGGCUGUGCUUGUUUAAUAUUUACUUAUUUAUUUUUAAGGUCUCUAUUCAGUGCAUUCACAUUUUUACACAAACCUGUCAUUAGUGAGGCUAAAAACAGGAAACGACGAUAAAAAGAAAUGUUUUAUCCCUGCUACUUGGCAGCAAAACUCUGUUUAUUAAUUAUUAUUUUGGUUAAUUGAAGAUAUGAAAGUGUAUAUGGAGGAGGAGGAGGAGGACGGAGAGGUGAAGAGGAGAAAAGAUGAUUUGCUGCGUGAUUUUGACUGAAGUCUAACUGGAUUAAACACCCACAGUCAGAUAAUUAGGAAAAACAGGGAGGUUGAAAGAGAGCGAGCGAGAGCAAGAGAGAGCUUCGUGAAACAAAUGAGUCAUAAAAAUAUUUUCUCUGAUUGAAUUUAUGCUAAACUGCAUCUAUCACAACUAAAUUCCACUUCUUUACUUCCUGAGCCACAGUGACAGUGACAGAGAGGGAGAAAAAAAUCUGUUUUUCGUAGCGAGUUACGCAGCUCAUGACUCAAAUGACUCUGAUCAAAGACCAGAUGAACAUUUUAGGCAUAAAGAAAAUGAAAUGGCUUAUACUCUCACAGCUUCUGAUCUUCCAUCUGGAACAACAGCAGCUACAGCUGCCUAAACAAGGAGCUAUUUGACCUAUUUCAAUGCAAAUUACAGGUGAAAUGAAGGAUGCUUGUCAGUGAGGAACAGCGCCGCUAAAUGACUGAGGAGGAAGAACUACAAUGAAGUUUCUCCAUCUGUGUCGGUGGCUUGUAGUCACACUGGGAAAGCACCUGUGUGUGAGACAGAGCCCAUUAUACAGCAGUUACACAGCCAUUGCCACAGAGGGACGACCAUAAGUGGCCAAUUAGGUAAUUAGAGCAUCAUUUUUCUCCACGUUGUCCACAGUGCUCCUUCCUCCCUCACUAUCUCUUUCUCGGAACCUGAAACACACAACAUAAACCACGCAGCGCCGAGAAGUGCAGCCAUCUUUGGUUUAGGCUGGACGCGCGCGAGGGGAAAAGCGAGCGGAGAGGUUAAGGGGUGAGGGAGGGAGUGUGUCAUUUGUCUUUGUCAGCAUACCACGGGACUUGUUUACUCUCUUAACCCGAGUCAUUAUUAUUGCAGACUGCGGGGAAUAAUUACCUCUGGACGCAUCUGGAGUGCAGGCCGCCCUCAGAAAAUGCCUGUGUGUGUGUGUGUGGAAUCAGAUCACACAUUUCUCUUGAUUUCAAGUAUUUACGUUCUUGCUUAUUUUACCUUCUGUUGUCAUGGACGAGAAAUAAAUCUUUAGCCUGUAUGUGAGUACUUUUGCAGGAUGUCUAGACUCUGGAGCAAAGGAGGAAAUUCAUCAGUGGGACGUCUUGUGCCACCUUGUCAUCACUGAACGUUAAUAUUUGCGUCUUUUACAGAGUUCGUUUACUUGUAGAGAAUAAAUCUUCCUAUCAACCCGACGCAGAGCGAUACUGCAGGCAGACGACGAGCGACGCUGACACGGGCUUGAAAUAUGGGACUGUACAGUGCAUGUAUACACUGUCGCUGUAUGUCUAUAUCAGGGGUGUCAAACAUACGGCUGGCGGGCCAGAACCAGCCCGCCAGAGGGUCCAAUCUGGCCCGCAGGAUGAAUUUGUGACAUCACUUAUUUUUGUCUCACAAUUUAAUCGUAAUGUGUAUUUCUCAGUGUCAGAUUCCUGCACACAUGUGCACAUGUGAUAUUUUUUAUGUUAAUGUUAAUAUUGUACAUUUUUAGAUACCUUACACUUACAUUUUUAUACACUGGACACUUUAUACCAAGGCAUUUUAAUUGUGAGUAUAUAAUGUUAUUUAUUCUCUUGGUAGCAGGAACCAAUAUGACUGCACAUUGUACUGUGUAUGAUCGUGUAUGUGACAAAUAAAACUACCUUAAUCUUGA